UACGGGGGGGGCAAGCGUUGUUCGGAAUUACUGGGCGUAAAGCGUACGUAGGCGGCUUUGUAAGUUAGAGGUGAAAGCCCGGGGCUCAACUCCGGAACUGCCUUUAAGACUGCAUCGCUAGAAUCCGGGAGAGGUGAGUGGAAUUCCGAGUGUAGAGGUGAAAUUCGUAGAUAUUCGGAAGAACACCAGUGGCGAAGGCGGCUCACUGGACCGGCAUUGACGCUGAGGUACGAAAGCGUGGGGAGCAAACAGG
rnacentral:rRNA from 1 species